rnacentral:rRNA from 1 species
AACGCUAGCUACAGGCUUAACACAUGCAAGUCGAGGGGCAGCAUUUUUAUAGCAAUAUAAAAGAUGGCGACCGGCGCACGGGUGAGUAACACGUAUCCAACCUGCCGAUAACUCGGGGAUAACCCUUCGAAAGAAGGCCUAAUACCCGAUGGCAUAUCCCUUCCGCCUGGUUGGGAUAUUAAGGAACUUCGGUUAUCGAUGGGGAUGCGUUCCAUUAGCUUGUUGGCGGGGUAACGGCCCACCAAGGCUUCGAUGGAUAGGGGUUCUGAGAGGAAGGUCCCCCACAUUGGAACUGAGACACGGUCCAAACUCCUACGGGAGGCAGCAGUGAGGAAUAUUGGUCAAUGGACGAGAGUCUGAACCAGCCAAGUAGCGUGAAGGAUGAAGGUCCUAUGGAUUGUAAACUUCUUUUAUACGGGAAUAAGGUGCAGUAUGCAUACUGUUUUGUAUGUACCGUAUGAAUAAGGAUCGGCUAACUCCGUGCCAGCAGCCGCGGUAAUACGGAGGAUCCGAGCGUUAUCCGGAUUUAUUGGGUUUAAAGGGAGCGUAGGCGGAUGCUUAAGUCAGUUGUGAAAGUUUGCGGCUCAACCGUAAAAUUGCAGUUGAUACUGGGCGUCUUGAGUACAGUAGAGGCAGGCGGAAUUCGUGGUGUAGCGGUGAAAUGCUUAGAUAUCACGAAGAACUCCGAUUG